rnacentral:misc_RNA from 1 species
UGGAUCACAGGGCCCCCAACUG